rnacentral:lncRNA from 1 species
CUCUCAGCCACGGGCUGCACACUGACCCGACGCGACCUUCGGUCAGGGGCCGCCAGCCUGGGCCACCUAUACAACGACAGCCUGCUCCGGGGCUUCCUGAGGAGGUGCCUGCCCCGCCGAGGUUCAACAGCUUUGGAGAGCAGGACAUCUUUUCCUCUCAGCCUGGCCCUCUGCAAUGGAGGCCAUAAAUAGGCCAGUAGUGGAAGCUACAGAACACGUGAGCAUGGCAGGGGCUGAGCUCCAUUUCAAGAUAUGGGUAAGAGGAGGGAUGCUGUUGCCUUGGAGCUGCCAGGCUGCAUGGCAGACAAGCAGGAUUCCUGCUGCCUCCCAUGGAGACUAUACUGGAACGCAGGUCUUGCCCUGUCAUCCAGGCUGGAGUGCAAUGGAUCUUGGAUCACUGCAACCUCCACCUUCCAGGCUCAAGUGAUCCUCCUGCCUCAACCUCCCAAGUAGCUGGGACUACAGUUCAAGGAAAGAAGCAAACUUAUUAUUUAAGAGCAAUGCAAAAUGAAAGCCAAGGCCAAGGACUUACUUUCCCGGAUCUGGCAUCUGAGUGCACAGCAACCGCAGAGACUGAAAACUCCUCCGAAUAGAAUGAAUGUUUGCCAUCCCCAUAAACACAACUUCACAGUUUGGGUAAUACUCUGGAGAGAGUAACAAUAAAGAGAACACAAAUACGUUGAACUUAAAGCCCACAUGGCCAAAUUUAAAAGCAAACUGGCUAUAAAACAAACCCACUGCAGCUUCUGAUUAACGAAACUGAAAUGUUUUGAAAUGCUUAACUAUUAGCCCAAUCCUUUAUAAUAAGAGGAACACACUGAAUUUUAGCUAUCUUUUCAAAAAGCGUGAAAAGGGAAGGUUAGAUUUGUAAAGAAGAUACUGACAUAAAAUAAAAGCUAUUAUUUUUUAAAAGAAAGGCCUACUUCGAUCUCACUCUGGCUUUACUUCUUGGGCCUUAUCUAACUUGUGGCUUUGAAAUCUCUUUGAAAAGAACUCCACAGAACAAUGCGUUCACACAUUCAAAUUUCACCUUGGUACAGCUGCUUUCAAUUUCCAGCUUAGACCACAUCUGAACAAAGAGCCUGGUGCCUCUGCCUGUGCCAUAGGCACUGAGGGGGGUCCCUCCUUGGGGAAAGCUAGCAUUCCAACAGUAAUGGUGUUACAGCUCAGGACAGAGAUACCUUACUAGGGUUCUGUAUUUACUGCUUCAAUUUUCACCCCAGGUUUUCUAAGGAGAGGCCCUUGAGGAGUUUGCUACAAGGCCAGUGGUGAGCAUACCCUCUGUCAAAGGCAACAAAAAGCUUUUAGACGGCUGAGAAAUUGAGCCCACUAAAGCAGCAGCUUCCAAACAUGAACAGGUCUUAUUAUGGGGAAGAUCUGCUUUCCUUAUCACCUACAAGUUGGCACAAGGAAGGAAGAUUAUGUGACUUCACUGCACCUCCUCCUCCAUUUCUCCUCAGAAAAGAACAUACAGUGUUAAGAAUCCAAAGAGAAGCUCUGGCACUCUCACGACAGGAUGGAUGAGGAAUAUGGCUUGCCACUUAUUUCAAAUUGGGAACUAAGUCUCAGUUGGGCAAGGGCUACACUCACAAGGAGAAAGUAUGGGGAACAAAGCACCAUACACCUCACCUGGGCAUUCGCAGCCUCCUCCUUUGGCUCGGUUUGCCACAGCAGCUGCAUAGGAGCGUGCAUCCAAGAUCAAAAGCUUCUGCGGUUGGAUGGCUAAACUCUCUGCUCCUGAAGCAUUUGACAGAGAAGAAUCUAGGGACACAGAGGGAGAGGGCAUACUAAAUGAGCCUGUCUCUCCCAGAACUGUGCAGAAUUAGACCCACAAGCACAUCUUAUGGCACAAAAAAGGCUCAAUAAAAUGAAAUCCCCUAACCAAAACCCUUGAUACAUAGGAUUUUUCUCUUUUUUUCUAUGUGGCCUUCUUAUGAAAGAUGAGAAGGAUUUAUUCUCCAAAACUGACUCCCAGAGUACACAUGGGGUUCACACAGCCCAGUCUCUUAUACUUCAUUUCUGUAUCUGUUGUCCUUUCAUGAAGCCUGGCAUUUCCUGCCAUGGUCUGCAGAUACUGCAAGUCCUCUAUUACAUAAACACUCCAUUUUUGUCACAAUGGCAAGAAAGACAACAAACACACUAAUAUCUUGAUUCAGGUUUGAAACAAAGGGUCUUCUGAUUCUCUGCCAAGACCCAUGACUCCUCAAUCAAUCCCAUCAAGUGAAGCUCUGCACAUUCACUUCUAUAAAAGUAAAUCUAUGUCUUGUAAGGAAGAGGCCAUUUCAAGAAAAGGUUCUUAGA